CUGGGGGCGCUGCUGCCGCAGACCCCCGCGAGGCCUGCCGGGCGGGCGGCGGCGUCCGGGGGCCGCCGAGGGCUGUGGCGCCAGGGCGGGCUCCGAGGGGACCCUGGUGCUGGGGGUCGUCCGUCCUCCCAGCCUGGCAGCUGGGGUUCGUGUUUCCGCGCGUCCGCGGCGCCUAGGUGGCCUUUGCUCCUCCAGCCCCCAUUGAAGGACGUUUGUCUGUUGCAGUAGUUCUCAAAGUGUGGGCCAGGGACACCCUGGAGCUUCAGAGACCCUGUGAGUUGAACCCAGCCACCAUGCUGAGAGGAGCCUAGGCCACUUGAAGGGUCUAAUGUCGGUGCUCCAAUCAACAGUCCCAGCUGAGCUCACAGCUGGAAGCCAGUGCCAGCCUUAAUCUUCACCCUGAGCCUUCAAAUGUCUCCAGCCCUGAUCGCGUUGACCUGAAACCACACAAGAGGCCCUAAGUGAAAAGAACCACCCAGCUACCCAGUCAACUUAUAGAACGCAACAAUCACUUGUACAGCGUGACUGAGUUUCUCUCUGUGAGAUCUGCAACCAGCCACCAGUGGUGUGGAGGAGGAGGUGACAGAUCCAAGUGUCAACUGCUGCUGCUGCUGCUGAUCAACUGCUGAGAUGAUGAUGGGAGUUUAAGUUCACUGUGAUUUCCACACCGAGAAUUUGAAGAAGACCAACAAGGAGCUUGGUAGGCUGGGGCUCAAGGAAGACAGCUCUGGUACGUAUGUGGA